UAUUGCACAAUGGGGGAAACCCUGAUGCAGCGACGCCGCGUGAGCGAAGAAGUAUUUCGGUAUGUAAAGCUCUAUCAGCAGGGAAGAAGAUGACGGUACCUGACUAAGAAGCUCCGGCUAAAUACGUGCCAGCAGCCGCGGUAAUACGUAUGGAGCAAGCGUUAUCCGGAUUUACUGGGUGUAAAGGGAGCGUAGGCGGCCUGGCAAGUCUGGUGUGAAAUACCGGGGCCCAGCCCCGGGACUGCAUUGGGAACUACCGGGCUGGAGUGCCGGAGAGGUAGGCGGAAUUCCUAGUGUAGCGGUGAAAUGCGUAGAUAUUAGGAGGAACACCAGUGGCGAAGGCGGCCUACUGGACGGUGACUGACGCUGAGGCUCGAAAGCGUGGGGAGCAAACAGG
rnacentral:rRNA from 1 species